UCCGGGGUGGCGCAGCGGUAGCGCAGUGGACUGUUAAUCCAUUGGUCGUGGGUUCGAAUCCCACCCCCGGAG
rnacentral:tRNA from 2 species